GAUGAAGAACGUAGUGAAAUGCGAUAAGUAAUGUGAAUUGCAGAAUUCAGUGAAUCAUCGAAUCUUUGAACGCACCUUGCGCUCCUUGGUAUUCCGAGGAGCAUGCCUGUUUGAGUGUCAUGAAAACCCUCAACCCUAGAUUGGUUAAUACCUUUCUUUGGUUUGGAUUUGGACGUUUGCCGAUGAUAAGUCGGCUCGUCUUAAAAGUAAUAGCUGGAUCUGUCUCGCGACAUGGUUUGACUUGGCGUAAUAAGUAUUUCGCUAAGGACAUCUUCGGAUGGCCGCGUUGCAGGACUAAAGACCGCUUUCUAAUCCAUUGAUCUUCGGAUUAAUACUCUUGACAUCUGGCCUCAAAUCAGGUAGGACUACCCGCUGAACUUAAGCAUAUCAAUAAGCGGAGGA
rnacentral:misc_RNA from 1 species